CAGCCGCCGCGGUAAUACGAGGGGUGCAAGCGUUAUUCGGAUUGAUUGGGUGUAAAGGGUGUGCAGACGGCUUAUUAAGUCACUUGUUAAAUUCUUCAGCCUAACUGAAGGUCUGUAAGUGAUACUGAUGAGCUAGAGGGUGGAAGAGAGAAGUGGAAUUCUCGGAGUAGCGGUAAAAUGCGUAGAUCUCGAGAGGAACACCAAUGGCGAAGGCAGCUUCUUGGUCCAUUCCUGACGUUCAUACACGAAAGCGUGGGGAGCAAACAGGAUUAGAUACCCCAGUAGUCCCUGUCUCUUAUAU
rnacentral:rRNA from 1 species